rnacentral:rRNA from 1 species
GACGUAGGGCGCGAGCGUUGUCCGGAUUUAUUGGGCGUAAAGAGCUCGUAGGCGGCUUGUUGCGUCGGCUGUGAAAACCCAUGGCUCAACCGUGGGCUUGCAGCCGAUACGGGCAGGCUAGAGUUCGGUAGGGAAGACUGGAAUUCCUGGUGUAGCGGUGAAAUGCGCAGAUAUCAGGAGGAACACCAAUGGCGAAGGCAGCUCGCUGGGACGUGACUGACGCUGAGACGCGAAAGCGUGGGGAGCAAACAGG